GAACAUGCACGUCACGGGGAGAACAUGCAGACCCUCAGUUUGGGUAAAGAACAGCUCCACCAAAAAACCCUUUGAUUGGGAAAAAUAUGAGGGAAACCUCAGCAAGAGCCACAGAGGAGGAGGAGGAGGAGGAGGAGGAGGAGGAUGAGGGAUCUGAUCUGCAUGCUGCUGUGAUGUUCUUAUUGCAUUUAUGUAAUUAUUAACCGUGACGUGUGUAGCUUUCAUGUAUUGAUUGAGAUGUAUGUUAACACGGCUCAGCCCAAAACAGAAAAAUUCCAUCAGGGACAAUAAAGUGCAUCGUAAUCAUA